AUACGGAGGAUCCGAGCGUUAUCCGGAUUUAUUGGGUUUAAAGGGUGCGCAGGCGGCCCUUUAAGUCAGCGGUUAAAUCGUGGGGCUCAACCCCAUUCUGCCGUUGAUACUGGGUGGCUUGAUUGCGGUCGAGGUUGGCGGAAUUCGUUGUGUAGCGGUGAAAUGCAUAGAUAUGACGAAGAACACCGAUUGCGUAGGCAGCUGACUAGACCGCAAAUGACGCUCAUGCACGAAAGUGCGGGGAUCGAACAGGAUUAGAUACCCUGGUAGUCCGCACAGUAAACGAUGAAUACUUGUUUUCGGCGAUAUAAUGUCGGAGGCAAAGCGAAAGCGAUAAGUAUUCCACCUGGGGAGUACGCCGGCAACGGUGAAACUCAAAGGAAUUGGCGGGG
rnacentral:rRNA from 1 species